rnacentral:lncRNA from 1 species
AAAAAGGGACUUGGUGUUUCUUUUUUAACUCUUGGGAGUCCUUGUGAGUAUUUUCCCAAACUUUGAGGAGUAGGUGUCUUUUUCGCUUUUGUUUAAGGCUAUUUUUGUAAUAUAAUUUUUCAUUAAAAGGUAGGUUUAAAGAGUAAUUUUAUGAGUUCAAAUAGCCUCACUCCCUAAUUAAUAACAUAAAUAUCUUGUGCACUUUUUAUAAUAUAAGCACUAAACGGGUAUGAUUAUGUGAUAUAUUCCUUUUGUGACACUAUGCCAAUCGACAACAAAUAAGGAAUAUUUUAAUAAACACAUGAUUAAUUGGCAUGUAUAUUACAAUGUAGAUUUUCAAAUGUUAUCAUUUAUUAAAUGAUUUCCUUCUCAAUUUGGAAGUUACAGGUAUAAAGUAAUGUGUUAAACAAGUUUUGGAUUUUAUUUCUAUUUAUGAUUAGGAAACAAGUUUUGGAUUUUAUUUCCAUUUAUGAUUAGGAUGCAAUUAAUAUUUGCAAUAGAUAAUGAAUUUCUUAUCAAUAUAUAUACGUACUCAAAGUUUGACAUGUUCUUCACUUCAUAUACUACCAAAUCAUCCAAAGCAAAGAAAACUACUUUCAAUUUGCCUGGAGAAAGGUGAUGCUGACGAUGAAUAUCAGUUCUAUCAAAAUGAUUUUGAUUGUCACCCUCGUGGUCACUGCAUCUUGUAAGUCGUUAUGCCUUUCUCUCACGCACACACUUUUUAUUUGUUUAUUUUUUUUAAUCUAUGUAUCUCUAUCUGUGUACGUAAUUUAACAAAUGGUAUUGAUGCUCACCAACAGGGCAAUUGAUGGAAGUUGAAGCCAGGGAGGUGGCCUUGAAUAUUCAGGGUGCGUUUGGAAUUGAGAUUGGGCAGCUUUAACUUAAAAGCUACAGCACUAAAGUGUUUGGUAAAUACUAACUGCUAUAGCUUUUAAGCUAUGUUGAUAUGAUUUUUCACUUGUAUAAUAUAAAAUUUAUUAUAUCUUUAAUAAUCUUAUCAAAAUUAUUAUUUAAAUUUUAUAUUUACUAUAUAUUAUUAACUUUUGUUUCAUAAUUACAAUUUUUUUUUCACAACAAGCUACAGCACCUCAAUCCCAAACACACCAUCAAUCUUCCACCGCUGCUGGCAACAGCGGCACAAUAGGAGAAACGUUUUAUCAGACAUAGCAAGCUUGUGUGAGAGACUCGGAUUGCUUUUACUGGCAUUGCAUUCCUGAGAGUGGCCAUGUAAAAUGCAUUGAUCACCAUUGUGUUUGCAGUAAAUAAGGCGUUGGUUAUUACAAGAGGAGUAAAUGUAAAAAUAUCAGUGAACCGGGAAUAAAAUUUCUUAAUAAUACUUUAUUUUUAUCUUAUUCUAUAAAUUAGCUUUAUGUUAGUACAUAACGUUACACAAUAAAUAUUCAAGAAACUUCUCAUUAUCUGCAUAAUAGAAGAAUUAAACAAUCGAUCACUGAAAAUUAAAAGGAGCAGAUAGGUAAAGGCACUAAUUGGGCUUGUGCGUGCAAAAGGUCUUGGUUUUGAUUUCCGUUCUUACAGUACAUAAAAUUUAAAAAAAAAAAAUUGAAGACAGUAACAAAAAAUGUAAACAUGCUCAACUAAAACCAAAAAAUUUUACAAUCCAUUAAGCAACUGUAAUCUUAGCUUAUUCUAAUAGGAUAAUGAAUCGAAUAAAGCUGUCCAAGAAUAAUAUCCUGGUUAUAGAAUCAGUCACAAAAAUAUAAUUCUUUCUUUUCUUUCUUGGUUAGUUUAUCCUAGUCUCUUAUCACUGUAACACUGAAACAAGCAAACUAAAGACUCUUAGCUAAAUUCAGAGAAAAAUUCAGAGAAUCACAGAAAUUAGUAAAUUUAAAUCUAAAGUAUCACGUACAUAAUGAUAAACACUUUAAAAAUGAACUCUUGACACCCUGAACGAAUUAUUUUUUUCCUUCACAUAAGUGAUUUGUAUUUCAAAAUUUUUGGGGAAGAAUGUGAUAGGUAAUGGGGAUAACAUUAACAAAAUGGUCCGAUCAAAGGGUAAGGAACGGUUUUUGUGCCAUUGCAUGUAUGUGAUUAACUCUAGAAUGUGUUUUGAGAAAAUUAUAUUACCAUUGAAAAAUAAUGUUAUAGUAUAACCUUUACAUUAUUAAAUACAGUUGGUGAUGCCUGUGUGAAAAUGAUACUUCGCCAUAAAAAGAUUACUUGAAUACUUAUUCGAGUAAACGCUUAUUUAUUCUUUAAGGUUUGAGCAGAAAAUGAUUCGAAUUAAUUUUUUAAAUAAUUUUUUUGAGUACGGGAACUAAGUAUUUGGCCUAAAUCAUAGGGAGUGAAGGAAAAUUUUACCGUUUUUAAGUGAAGGAAAAUUUCACCCUUUUUUUAGUUCAAUUUAGUAAAUGCUCGUUAGAGAUAUUUGAUGAGUAAGCAAUAAUAAAUGCAAUUUUAUUUUUUUCUAGUUUAUAUAUUUACAGUAAUUGAAAGAAAAAAAAUGCUACAAAAGGACAAUUUAAGCAAACAAACAGGGGUGUAGGUGUGAGAUAUAUAAUAUAAGGGAGGUGAUCUUUUUACCCCAUAAUUUUUGUAAACCUACCAUAUAUCUCUAAGAAAUAAUUAUAAUAAAUUCACAUUAU